rnacentral:rRNA from 1 species
AGCAGCCGCGGUAAUUCCAGCUCCAAUAGCGUAUAUUAAAGUUGUUGCAGUUAAAAAGCUCGUAGUUGAAUUUCGGGGUCAGUAGAUUGGUCGUGCCACUGGUAUGUACUGGUCUUACUGGCUCCUCCUUCCUGAUGAACCGUAAUGCCAUUAAUUUGGUGUUGCGGGGAGACUGGACUGUUACUUUGAAAAAAUUAGAGUGUUUAAAGCAGGCUAACGCUUGAAUACAUUAGCAUGGAAUAAUGAAAUAGGACGUUCGAUCUUAUUUUGUUGGUUUCUAGGAUUGACGUAAUGAUUAAUAGGGAUAGUUGGGGGCAUUAGUAUUCAAUUGUCAGAGGUGAAAUUCUUGGAUUUAUUGAAGACUAACUACUGCGAAAGCAUUUGCCAAGGAUGUUUUCAUUAAUCAAGAACGAAAGUUAGGGGAUCGAAGACGAUCAGAUACCGUCGUAGUCUUAACCAUAAACUAUGCCGACUAGGGAUCGGAUGAUGUUAAUUUUUAAUGACCCAUUCGGCGCCUUAA